rnacentral:rRNA from 1 species
AUGAACACAUCGAGAUCUAGUAUACUGACACAACAAACUCCAGAAUAUGCAACCGAUGAUAGCGGCACCUUGAGGACUGGAUGGGAUGUCAAUGCAAGGAGGCACCAGCUACCCGCAGCGGAGGAGAUUUGGCCGGCGGCCAUCACCACUCAUGCAAAAGCAGCACGGCGAGGAGAUGUUCUGUUCGAGGGUUCAGAGAAGGAAAUGAUUACGUUUCGUGGGCACAAGAGGCUACGCGCGAGGGUGGUUGCCACCAUCCGCCAAAAUCUUGCGGCUCUCAUCAACCAGUUUUCAGUGGAAUAUUCUAAGGCAUCUGGCUAUCCCAGCCAUCUUCGCCAUCUAACCAAACGAGUGGUAUCCCUGAAAAAUCUGGCUAUCCCUGUCCCACUAAGGGAUAGCCAGUGA